CGUUUGGAAAAGGUACAACGCUGAUGGUCAAGCCAGAUCUCUCAGAUUCUGACCCUUCUGUCUACCAACUGAAGUCCCAAGAUGGAGAGUUGUCAGCUUGCCUUAUCACAGACUUCGCCCCUGAGAACAUCUCAAUUGGGAGUUCAGACAGUAAUCUCACAGAAGUCAGUGGCUCCAUUGUGCAGGUGAAAAACCCACACAGCAACAAAAUGGAAGCAAGCUAUGGGACGGUGCUUUGGAGAGAAAAGAAGUCGUUUCACUGCAUCGCUAAACAAAAAAUGGAAACAUUUGAAAUGAGUGACAGUGGUGAGGAAGGUGACACCUGCAGGAUAACAGAGCUGGAUGACAAUUUUGAGACAGACGAGAGGCUGAACCUCCUGUCAUUCACACUGCUGGGCCUGAGAGUCGUUUUUGUGAAAGGAGUGGCGGUUAACCUGCUACUGACCAUCUGGUUGUGGAAAAGCUAAAGAGUGGAAGGAAAGAGGACAGAUGGAACGUGGAGUGAUGGGAAUUCCUCAGAGACCUGGUGUCAUCUCUUCACCUUCCCAUGCACCAGGAAAUAUGAUGCAGUGAAUGAUCCCCAUGUCACCUCUGUAUAUAGGCCUGUUGUACAAUGAUCUGAUGUGCUUUCAUUUAGCAAGUUUUAGAAGGAUCUCACUUACCUAGCCUGGUUUUUCCAUGACCCUCAUCCCUUUCGCCCUCCACAGACUAACACAUUUAUCCUCACAAGCUCCCAGUGUGAGGCAAGGAAUUGCUAUUAAGUAGAGCUGGUCAACAAAUGUGUGAAAACAUCUUUUGAUGGAAAAUUAGGGUUUCAAUUUUUUUGGCAGAAAGUCCCCAUUUUCCUAGGG